rnacentral:siRNA from 1 species
GACAAAGGUGUAGAAGUCAAACCA